GGCGGCGUGCUGUUCAGCCCUUUCCUGGUUUAUGUGUUGAUGGCGCUGGUGCUUACCGGCGUGUUGCGUCUGGUGGUGCAGGCCACGCCGUUGGGGCGCUGGGAUCUGGCAUGAAGCGCUGUUCGAUGCGGCGUUG
rnacentral:sRNA from 1 species